UACAGAGGGUGCGAGCGUUAAUCGGAAUUACUGGGCGUAAAGCGCACGUAGGUGGAUAUUUAAGUCGGAAGUGAAAGCCCUGGGCUUAACCUGGGAAUUGCCUCCGAUACUGGAUGUCUAGAAUAUGGUAGAGGGUAGUGGAAUUUCCGGUGUAGCGGUGAAAUGCGUAGAUAUCGGAAGGAACACCAGUGGCGAAAGCGGCUACCUGGACCAAUAUUGACACUUAGGUGCGAAAGCGUGGGGAGCAAACAGG
rnacentral:rRNA from 1 species